CUGCGAAUGGCUCAUUAAAUCAGUUAUCGUUUAUUUGAUAGUACCUUACUACACGGAUAUCUGUGGUAAUUCUAGAGUUAAUACGUGCUAAAAACCCCGACUUCGGGAGGGGUGUAUUUAUUAGACUAAAAACCAACGCCCUUCGGGGCUCCUUGGUGAUUCAUAAUAACUCAACGAAUCGCAUGGCCUUGAGCCGGCGAUGGUUCAUUCAAAUUUCUGCCCUAUCAACUUUCGAUGCUAGGGUAGUGGCCUAGCAUGGUGACAACGGGUAACGGGGGAUUAGGGUUCUAUUCCGGAGAGGGAGCCCGAGAAACGGCUACCACAUCCAAGGAAGGCAGCAGGCGCGCAAAUUACCCAAUCCCGACACGGGGAGGUAGUGACAAUAAAUACUGAUACAGGGCUCUUUUGGGUCUUGUAAUUGGAAUGAGUACGAUUUAAAUACCCUAACGAGGAACAAUUGGAGGGCAAGUCUGGUGCCAGCAGCCGCGGUAAUUCCAGCUCCAAUAGCGUAUAUUAAAGUUGUUGCAGUUAAAACGCUCGUCGUUGAACCUUGGGCCUGGGCGAUCGGUCCCCCUCACCGGGAGCACUGGUUCGGCCGGGCCUUUCCUUCUGGGGAUCCGCAUGCCCUUCGCUGGGCGUGUCGGGGAACCAGGACUUUUACUUUGAAAAAAUUAGAGUGUUCAAAGCAGGCCUUUGCUCGAAUACCUUAGCAUGGAAUAAUAGAAUAGGACGUGCGGUCCUAUUUUGUUGGUUUCUAGGACCGCCGUAAUGAUUAAUAGGGUCAGUCGGGGGCAUCAGUAUUCAAUUGUCAGAGGUGAAAUUCUUAGAUUUAUUGAAGACUAACUACUGCGAAAGCAUUUGCCAAGGAUGUUUUCAUUAAUCAGUGAACGAAAGUUAGGGGAUCGAAGACGAUCAGAUACCGUCGUAGUCCUAACCAUAAACUAUGCCGACUAGGGAUCGGGGUAUACUCAUUUUUGGUUGCCUCGGCACCUUACGAGAAAUCAAAGUGUUUGGGUUCUGGGGGGAGUAUAGUCGCAAGGCCGAAACUUAAAGAAAUUGACGGAAGGGCACCACCAGGCGUGGAGCCUGCGGCUUAAUUUGACUCAACACGGGGAAACUCACCAGGUCCAGACACAAUAAGGAUUGACAGAUUGAGAGCUCUUUCUUGAUUUUGUGGGCGGUGGUGCAUGGCCGUUUUUAGUUGGUGGAGUGAUUUGUCUGCUUAAUUGCGAUAACGAACGAGACCUUAACCGGCUAAAUAGCCAGGCUAGCUUUGGCUGGUCGCUGGCUCAAUGAGGGACAUGUGUGUA
rnacentral:rRNA from 1 species